rnacentral:rRNA from 1 species
AGCGAACGCUGGCGGCAGGCCUAACACAUGCAAGUCGAACGAACCUUCCGGGGUUAGUGGCGGACGGGUGUGGAACACGUGGGAACGUGCCUUUAGGUUCGGAAUAACUCAGGGACACUUGUGCUAAUACCGAAUGUGCCCUUCUGGGGAAAGAUUUAUCGCCCUUAGGGCGGCCCGCGUCUGAUUAGCUAGUUGGUUGAGGUAAUGGCGCACCAAGGCGACGAUCAGUAGCUGGUCUGAGAGGAUGAUCAGCCACAUUGGGGCUGGGACGCGGCCCAGACUCCUACGGGAAGCAGCAGUGGGGGAUCUAGCGCAAUGGGCGGAGGCAUGACGCAGCCAUGCCGCGUGAAUGAUGAAGGUCUUAAGAUUGUAAAAUUCUUUCACCGGGGACGGUAAUGACGGUACCCAAAGAAGAAGCCCCGGCUAACUUCGUG